GACGAACGCUGGCGGCGUGCUUAACACAUGCAAGUCGAACGAAGAGCGAUGGAAGCUUGCUUCUAUCAAUCUUAGUGGCGCACGGGUGAGUAACGCGUAAUCAACCUGCCCUUCAGAGGGGGACAACAGUUGGAAACGACUGCUAAUACCGCACACGAUCUAAUCUCGGCAUCGAGGAUAGAUGAAAGGUGGCCUCUACAUGUAAGCUAUCACUGAAGGAGGGGAUUGCGUCUGAUUAGCUAGUUGGAGGGGUAACGGCCCACCAAGGCGAUGAUCAGUAGCCGGUCUGAGAGGAUGAACGGCCACAUUGGGACUGAGACACGGCCCAGACUCCUACGGGAGGCAGCAGUGGGGAAUCUUCCGCAAUGGACGAAAGUCUGACGGAGCAACGCCGCGUGAGCGAUGACGGCCUUCGGGUUGUAAAGCUCUGUUAAUCGGGACGAAAGGCCUUCUUGCGAAUAGUGAGAAGGAUUGACGGUACCGGAAUAGAAAGCCACGGCUAACUACGUG
rnacentral:rRNA from 1 species